GGCAAAUUCCGGAGCCGAGUAGAACGCUUGCACUGGCUACACCCGUAGAAGACACAUGACCACAGCAGUGGACGGGGGUUCGAUUCCCCCCAUCUCCACCA
rnacentral:tmRNA from 1 species